rnacentral:tRNA from 1 species
GCUAGCGUAGCUUAAUUCAAAGCAUGACACUGAAGAUGUUAAGACGAGCUGUAGAGAGCUCCGCGGGCA